UCCUCACGGGGAGGGGGAACGGC
rnacentral:misc_RNA from 1 species